rnacentral:rRNA from 1 species
GAUGAACGCUGGCGGCGUGCCUAAUACAUGCAAGUCGAGCGAACAGACGAGGAGCUUGCUCCUCUGACGUUAGCGGCGGACGGGUGAGUAACACGUGGAUAACCUACCUAUAAGACUGGGAUAACUUCGGGAAACCGGAGCCAAUACCGCAUAAUAUAUUGAACCGCAUGGUUCAAUAGUGAAAGACGGUUUUGCUGUCACUUAUAGAUGGAUCCGCGCCGCAUUAGCUAGUUGGUAAGGUAACGGCUUACCAAGGAAACGAUGCGUAGCCGACCUGAGAGGGUGAUCGGCCACACUGGAACUGAGACACGGUCCAGACUCCUACGGGAGGCAGCAGUAGGGAAUCUUCCGCAAUGGGCGAAAGCCUGACGGAGCAACGCCGCGUGAGUGAUGAAGGUCUUCGGAUCGUAAAACUCUGUUAUUAGGGAAGAACAAAUGUGUAAGUAACUAUGCACGUCUUGACGGUACCUAAUCAGAAAGCCACGGCUAACUACGUG